rnacentral:rRNA from 1 species
GACGAACGCUGGCGGCGUGCUUAACACAUGCAAGUCGAACGGAAAGGCCCUGCUUUUGUGGGGUGCUCGAGUGGCGAACGGGUGAGUAACACGUGAGUAACCUGCCCUUGACUUUGGGAUAACUUCAGGAAACUGGGGCUAAUACCGGAUAGGAGCUUCUCCUGCAUGGUGGGGGUUGGAAAGUUUCGGCGGUUGGGGAUGGACUCGCGGCUUAUCAGCUUGUUGGUGGGGUAGUGGCUUACCAAGGCUUUGACGGGUAGCCGGCCUGAGAGGGUGACCGGCCACAUUGGGACUGAGAUACGGCCCAGACUCCUACGGGAGGCAGCAGUGGGGAAUAUUGCACAAUGGGCGGAAGCCUGAUGCAGCAACGCCGCGUGCGGGAUGACGGCCUUCGGGUUGUAAACCGCUUUCGCCUGUGACGAAGCGUGAGUGACGGUAAUGGGUAAAGAAGCACCGGCUAACUACGUG